rnacentral:rRNA from 1 species
GGUACACGGAUGUGCUUGCACAUCGCUGACGAGUGGCGGACGGGUGAGUAAUGCUUACGGAUCUGCCUCUGUGUGGGGGAUAACUAUUGGAAACGAUAGCUAAUACCGCAUAAUGUUUACGGACCAAAGGGGGCGUUUGCUCCCGCGCAGAGAGGAACCUAAGUGAGAUUAGCUAGUUGGUAAGGUAAUGGCUUACCAAGGCGACGAUCUCUAGCUGUUCUGAGAGGAAGAUCAGCCACACUGGGACUGAGACACGGCCCAGACUCCUACGGGAGGCAGCAGUAAGGAAUCUUGCACAAUGGAGGAAACUCUGAUGCAGCGAUGCCGCGUGAGUGAAGAAGGCCCUUGGGUUGUAAAGCUCUUUCGUCGGGGAAGAAAAUGACUGUACCCGAAUAAGAAGGUCCGGCUAACUUCGUGCCAGCAGCCGCGGUAAUACGAAGGGACCUAGCGUAGUUCGGAAUUACUGGGCUUAAAGAGUUCGUGGGUGGUUAAAAAAGUUGGUGGUGAAAUCCCAGAGCUUAACUCUGGAACUGCCAUCAAAACUUCCUACGCUAGAGUAUGAUAGAGGACCGCAGAACUUCUAGUGUAGAGGUGAAAUUCGUAGAUAUCAGAAAGAAUACAAUUGCGAAGGCCGCUCCUGGACAUUACUGACCCGAAGAACGAAGAUGGGUGCGAACAGCAUAAUACCUGGUAACCAGCCGCAAGCAGUGGUCAACGUG